rnacentral:rRNA from 1 species
CACGAACGCUGGCGGCAUGCCUAACACAUGCAAGUCGAACGAGAUCUUCGGGUCUAGUGGCGCACGGGUGCGUAACGCGUGGGAAUCUGCCCUUUGGUUCGGAAUAACAGUUGGAAACGACUGCUAAUACCGGAUGAUGACGAAAGUCCAAAGAUUUAUCGCCAGAGGAUGAGCCCGCGUAGGAUUAGCUAGUUGGUGUGGUAAAGGCGCACCAAGGCGACGAUCCUUAGCUGGUCUGGGAGGAUGAUCAGCCACACUGGGACUGAGACACGGCCCAGACUCCUACGGGAGGCAGCAGUGGGGAAUAUUGGACAAUGGGCGAAAGCCUGAUCCAGCAAUGCCGCGUGAGUGAUGAAGGCCUUAGGGUUGUAAAGCUCUUUUACCCGGGAUGAUAAUGACAGUACCGGGAGAAUAAGCUCCGGCUAACUCCGUGCCAGCAGCCGCGGUAAAAC